AACCACGCCUGCCAACUUCUGGACUUGACAAUACAGGAAAUGUCGCCGCCCGGUGCUACUAUGAGAGCGGUGCUGGGGGGAAAUGCUAAUACGGGAGCACGGCGGGAGAGGGAGGUAAAAUACGGUAGUUUCCCAGAAAAAACGUGAGACUUCACUGGUUAUAACCAGAUAUCGAUCCUGAAUUUAUUUCCAAUCUCUUCCGUAGUUUGAUGUCCCUGUAGGGGAAGGGUCGCCACAUUUCUGGGCAGAUCGAGGGGAAACUCCCGGAAGCUGUGACCCUGAACGGCGGGAACAUUAGCAGCAUUAGCGGCGGGACGCGGAGCAGGUCGGAGAUCUCCUGCAUCUUCCCUCCGUCCAGAAACCGAAGAGCCGAGGGGAAGAAACGACCAGCGGACAGGAAGUGAUCAGAGCGACAGACAGGAAGUGAUCAGAGCGACGGACAGGAAGUGAUCAGAGCGACGGACAGGAAGUGAUCAGAGCGGCGUCCAGGAAGUGAUCAGAGCGACGGACAGCAAGUGAUCAGAGCGACGGACAGCAAGUGAUCAGAGCGAUGGACAGGAAGUGAUCAGAGCGACGGACAGGAAGUGAUCAGAGCGGCGUCCAGGUGCCGCCACGCUGAUUCAUGUAAAUAAUGCAGCUCAGGAUGCGACGCUGUGCUGAGAUGCAAAAGGUGUGUGUGGGCAGAAACAACUUCCCAGAACGUUCAGCAGAAUAAUAUUAAUAAAAUAUCAAAACUUU